GCAUCUGAUAGACAACUCUGACACCUGAUCUCUCGGGACCUUGCGAAGUCACUCAGAGUUCUUAAGAGACUUCCCUUACUUUAUUAUUCCCGAAAAAAAUUGUCACAGUUUGGUUGCCUAGUUUGAGUAAUGAAACGUCUGCAAGAAAACAAGCAAGCCCAGAGAGCACAAAGGACCUCUCUUUCCUUUUUGUUAUUGGGAAGCAGAAGUGCUAAACUGCAAAGCUCCUCUGUCAUUUCCGGCCUGAUUGGAAACGGGAAGUCUUAUGUAAAUCAAUUUUUGUGCAAAUGGAGAUUCAAUUUCAGGAAUUCCAGCACGUUGGAUUGUCCUAAUAAAGAUCUGUUGUGUGAAUUUGUGGAUGACAUUAUCUAAGUCUGGACUGCAACUGCCACAGUUACUCUGGCUCCCUAUCAAUGAGAUUCAGGGCUUCUCCUUGAACAUAAGAGUCAUGUGCUGAAGAUUGUAUCCUGGAAAUGAAUUGACUUUAAUUUGUAUAUGAGCAGUUUGUGAUCUGUUCCACAGUCCUAUCUUUGCUAUUAUAACUGAGUUGUUCACCUCCUUGCACCAAUAAUAUGAUCAGUCUUUCUGUCUCUCCAUCUGGCAGUAUCCACCUUUAUAGGCAUUGUUUUGUCAUAAUUAUAGAAAUAAUUUUGAUCGUUUGAAUACUGUGUUAUGAAUGAAUAAACAA